AUGCAAAGUUCAUGUAUGCAUUUUACAUGCAUCAAUGGGCCAACCGGCAGAAGAUGUCGGAUGGGCUGGCCCGCGACGGACGACGAACUAACCAGAUGUCGGCAUGGGGCGGAGAUUGCCAAAGGGCCGGAUGUCGGCCUGUCCGGGAUACGCAAAUGUCGGUCCGCCUGGGAUGAAGCCACCUCGGCCCGUUCCGAGGUCAAGGAGUCUCGGCCCCAUAAUGUGGAGCUCGGCCUAUUGCGUGACUCGGUAAGUCACACCCGGCCCAAAACCGAGGUCUGCGCGGGGGAGGGAAGGAACACCAGGUUGCGGGAGAAGCCGGCCCAAAACCGGGAUCUGGGAAAUGCCGGUCAAACUGGCCCGUCAGGAGCCCAAAACCGGGAUCUCGAAGAGGUGAUGCUGGCCCGCUCCGAGUUAGGAGCUGAUGUCGGCCCAAACCGAGAUAGCGGACACCUACAUAGGUGUAUGUCGGCCCAGAACAGGGUAUUCCGGCCUGGGUCACGCCAAUCUCGGCCCAGGCUGAUUUCUUUUGCUUUUCUCUUAUCUUUUAGUUGUUUAUCCACUUUUUCUCUCUUCUACUAA
rnacentral:rRNA from 1 species